rnacentral:lncRNA from 1 species
AGUGGCAGCUCGCUGGGGGACCCAAACGCUGUGCUCGCCGGGCACAUGGAGCGACAGCCUAGACCGAGCUGCCGCUUCGAUCACUGCCCCCUGCACCCGCCGUGGCCAUCCCGGAGCCCCGGUGGAAGCAACGCCGCGGGCAAGUACCGAGCCUCUCGGGGUCUCCCUUCCCUGGGGAACGAGGCGUGUGGGGGGAGGGACAGAACCAAGAAAGAAUUUUUCCCCCUACGGUGAAUUUGGGGGAGGUAAAAUAAAAAUAAAAUAAAAUAAAAAUAAACCAUAAAAAUAAAAGGAAGCCAGGCACUUAGAGGAGGGUUCAAAGGAGGUGGGGCAGUAUUAGCAUGUAAAAGGAUGUGCCCGCCUACUCUCCCCAGUCACACAAGAUUGUCAUGCGAGCUGAAGGGGGCUGAAAUUAUUCCCUCUGAAGAAGAAGAAGAAGAAGAAAACAUACUGCAGCUCCCGAUUUGGGCCUGCCUCUUUCUAUUCCUUGACAUAAACCGGACUCUUCAUGCUAAUCA